AAACUAAUGGCUAGUAAAGAAACGUAAAUUAGAAGUCGCAUUUCUUUGUUUACACAUUAUCUUUAUAAAAAGGAAAUGACCUUAUGUGAUAAUUUACUGAGAAGAUCAAACGCCAAAGAAGAUAUGGCGAAUAGAGGAAUUUUACGAGCUUAAUUUAGCAAGAAGAACCAAAAAAAUAUGCCUCUAGUAGACGAUAUGGAUUUUUUAUUAAAGCACAGAAAAUGAAUUUAAAAUACUAGACGAUAUUUGAUAGUACAAUUGUUGAAGAAUUAGGAUUGUAUUUAUUAAAUCCGCUAGAUUCUGAAGUUAAACUUUCACAAAUGAGUAAUUGGAACAUCAGCGCUUGAAUAUCAAGUUCCUGUCUUGAAUUUUUUUGAGUAUAAAUAUGAUAAAUCAAAUAAUGGAUAACACUGCUUUUAGACCAGCAUCAAAAGCGAGCGACAUUAACAAAGAUUCGUAAAGCCUUUAAUCAUCCCAAGACGAGGUUAUAAACAAUAACAAUCGUGUUUAUGGCAAUAAGAGGGACUAAAAUUUAAAAUUAGAAAUUAUAAAGUUUUUAAUACUUACAAGUCAUGACAGUUCUUAUAGCUCGAAUUAAAUGCAAAAUUCGGCUUUUGAUAGUAUCUUGUCGAUCACCAAAUCCCAGGGCAGCACUUUGGGACCAUCCAACUAUUUUCAAUAAUUAGAACAACAUAUUUGGUUAAAAUUGUAGUUCAUACUUCUUCCUAAAAAUCUAUCCUCUGAAAGAAUAGCAACCGCGUUUAAAAGCAAUAAAGUGACUAACAAAUUAGAAAGCUGCGUUCAAAAACAUCUUACCAUAUAAUAUAUUUCCAAACCCAAACAUAAUGCUCGAUACUUUUUAAUACAAUUGAAGUUCAAUAUUUUUUUUUAAAGGUUUUGGUAGUGAUUUAAUGCCAGAAUACAGCAGCAUAUUA